GAUGAACGCUGGCGGCGUGCUUAACACAUGCAAGUCGAACGGAAAGGCCGAAGCUUGCUUCGGUACUCGAGUGGCGAACGGGUGAGUAACACGUGGGUGAUCUGCCCUGUACUUCGGGAUAAGCUUGGGAAACUGGGUCUAAUACCGGAUAUGACGAUCUCUUGGAUGGGGUUGUGGAAAGCUUUUGCGGUAUGGGAUGAGCUCGCGGCCUAUCAGCUUGUUGGUGGGGUAAUGGCCUACCAAGGCGUCGACGGGUAGCCGGCCUGAGAGGGUGUACGGCCACAUUGGGACUGAGAUACGGCCCAGACUCCUACGGGAGGCAGUAGUGGGGAAUAUUGCACAAUGGGCGCAAGCCUGAUGCAGCGACGCCGCGUGGGGGAUGACGGCCUUCGGGUUGUAAACUCCUUUCGCAAUCGACGAAGCCUUUUGGUGACGGUAGGUUGAGGAGAAGCACCGGCUAACUACGUG
rnacentral:rRNA from 1 species